rnacentral:misc_RNA from 1 species
AAAGGAAUUUGUCAAUGCAGGAUAGAAUUCAGCGGGGUCUCUAUGACACUGGAUUUCUGCCUUUGGAACGGACGAUGUCAGUACCUGGUGGUGGUCCUGGUGUUAAUUUGGAUGCCGUAAAUCCUCUAGUACAUGCACCAGGUCUAGAAAUGCAAGAUCCAAAUUCAAGAAUGCACUCAGCUGGUCAUAUGCCUGCUUUCUCGACUGGCAUCCACUUGCAAUCUUCUCACCGUCCUCCGUUUCAAUUUCAUGCUCCAAAUGUUGAUACAAUUGAAAAUUAUUGGUCCGAAAGAAAUGGUCAGUUACCAGCUGAUUGGAUGGAUACUAGGAUGCAGCAACUACAUCUUAAAGGUGAGAGGCAAAGAAGAGAUUUUGAUGUCAAAAGAGCUUCUGAAGAUCAAAGUAUGUGGAUGUCAGCUGGUGCUAAUGAUGACAGUUCAAAGCGAUUACUUAUGGAACUGCUCCAGCAAAAGUCUGGCCAGCAGUCAACUGAGCAAGCAGAAAUUACCAGAGGGAUUUUGUUUGAGAGGGGCUUUCAGUCUGGUCACUUUUCUACGACAAAUGCUUCAAACCGUUCAUUCAACCCUCUUUUGGACCAGGAUACAAGUCUAAACCAAGCUUUCUCUGUUGGGUCAUAUGGUUCUAAUUCAGGUUUUCCACCACAGAGAGAUCAUGUAAAUGAGAUUGCCGGUAGUCUUGAUGCUUGUGAGAGAUUGCCCUUCCAAUCUCAUUCUGGAGCUUUUGCUGAACCUGAACCUGUCUUUUCCAGCAUCAAUGACGCCUCUCAGGUACAUUUGGAGGCUCGCGAAAGUAUCGUUAGGCAAGCUGGUGUGGCGACUGUAGAAGGGGAAAUGCCAAU